GGGCCUAUAGCUCAGCUGGUUAGAGCGCACGCCUGAUAAGCGUGAGGUCAGAGGUCCGAGUCCUCUUAGGCCCACCA
rnacentral:tRNA from 4 species